GCCUGAGUGGCUCAGUCGGUUGAGCGUCUGACUUCAGCUCAGGUCAUGAUCUCACGGUCUGUGAGUUCGAGCCCCGCAUUGGGCU
rnacentral:tRNA from 1 species